rnacentral:lncRNA from 1 species
AUGAGAAACAAACGGGCUGCUCCGACCGCUGCUGCUCCCAGCCCACACACCUCCGGGCUGCCCAGUGCCGGGGCUCCGUCGUGCUCCCGUGGGCAUCACCGCUGCUGGGCUGCCGCGGGCACCACCGCGGCCACGAGGGAUGGUUCCUGGCAUCCGUCCUGCCCAUGCGCCACCCUCCCUGGCACCUCCAUCCUGCCCAAGUGUCACCAUCUGUGGCAUCUCCAUCCUCUCCAAGUGCCACUGUCCUUGGCAUCGCCUUCUGCCCAAGUGCCACCACCCCUGGCAUCCAUCCUGCCCAAGUGUCACUGUCCCUGGCAUCCAUCCUGCCCAUGCGCCACCAUCCCUGGCAACUUUGUCCUACCCAUGUGCCACCAUCUGUGGCAUCUCCAUCCUCUCCAAGUGCCACCAUCCCUGGCAUCUGUCCUGCCCAAUUGCCACCACCCCUGGGAUCUCCAUCCUGCUCGUUCAGCACCAUCCCCAGGCUCUCCAUCCUGCCCACGGCAGCUCCAUCCUUCUCAUCUGGCCCCAUCCCUGGGCACCUCUAACCUGCCCGUCUGGCACCAUCCCCGGGCGCUUCCACCUUCAGCCAGCCCCCAUCCCUGUGCUGCAGCAUCCUGCCCGUGUGCCACCAUCCCUGGGCAUCCCCACCCUCCUCCAGCACCAUCCCUGAGCACCCCGAGCCUGCCCAUCCAGCACCACCCCUGGGCAUCUCCAUCCUCAUCCAGGCACCACCUCCGGCCAUCUCCAUCCUUCUCCCUCGGCACCACCCAUGGCACUUCCAUCCCACCCCCAUGCCACCACCGCUGGGAUCCCCAUCCUAAGGACGUUCCCCCCAGGCUGGGGUCCCCGCAGCCUCCUCCUCGGCUGGAUUUGGCCCCUGGGGAAGCUGCUGUGGCCGGAGCAGUGCCAGGCCGGCCAGCAGUGACGCGGAAACCCAGGGAGCAGAGGGAGCGAGGCGCGAGGGAGUCCCGCGCUGUCCCCCGCCGGGUCCCCCGGCCCCCCCCGGCCACUGCUUGCUCCAGCCGGGGCCGCAGCCAAGCCUCUGCUGUUCCAGUUGGCCACGGCUCGGCCCCGAGUUAUCUGCAGCUCCGCGGCGGUCACAUUUUCCACUGCUCCGUGUUUGUGUUUGAAAGGCGGCUGGGAGGAGGGGAGGAGGAGAAGGAGCGCGAGAAGGGAGAGAUCCCCGUGGGCCUGGCCGUGGGCAGGGGGCGGGUGGGAAGGUGA